rnacentral:rRNA from 1 species
AGGGAGCUUGCUCCGCUGACGAGUGGCGAACGGGUUGAGUAAUACAUCGGAAAUGUACCCAGUCAUGGGGGAUAACGCUUCGAAAGGAGUGCUAAUACCGCAUACGCCCUGAGGGGGAAAGUGGGGGACGCGCAAGAGCCUCACGUGAUUGGAGCAGCCGAUGGCUGAUUAGCUAGUUGGUAGGGUAAAGGCCUACCAAGGCAACGAUCAGUAGCGGGUCUUAGAGGACGAUCCGCCACACUGGAACUGAGACACGGUCCAGACUCCUACGGGAGGCAGCAGUGGGGAAUCUUGGACAAUGGGCGAAAGCCUGAUCCAGCAAUGCCGCGUGCGUGAAGAAGGCCUUCGGGUUGUAAAGCGCUUUUGUCGGGGAGGAAAUCCUAACGGUUAAUACCUGUUGGGGAUGACAGUACCCGAAGAAUAAGCACCGGCUAACUACAUGCCAGCAGCCGCGGUAAUACGUAGGGUGCAAGCGUUAAUCGGAAUUACUGGGCGUAAAGCGUCCGCAGGUGGCUUGAUA